rnacentral:rRNA from 1 species
AUUGAACGCUGGCGGCAUGCCUUACACAUGCAAGUCGAACGGUAACAGGGUGCUUGCACCGCUGACGAGUGGCGAACGGGUGAGUAAUGCGUCGGAACGUGCCGAGUAGUGGGGGAUAACGCAGCGAAAGUUGUGCUAAUACCGCAUACGUACUGAGGUAGAAAGUGGGGGACCUUCGGGCCUCACGCUAUUCGAGCGGCCGACGUCUGAUUAGCUAGUAGGUGAGGUAAAGGCUCACCUAGGCGACGAUCAGUAGCGGGACUGAGAGGAUGAUCCGCCACACUGGGACUGAGACACGGCCCAGACUGCUACGGGAGGCAGCAGUGGGUAAUUUUGGACAAUGGGCGAAAGCCUGAUCCAGCCACGCAGCGUGUCUGAAGAAGGCCUUCGGGUUGUAAAGGACUUUUGUCAGGGAGGAAAUCCCUAGUGCUAAUAACACUGGGGGAUGACAGUACCUGAAGAAUAAGCACCGGCUAACUACGUGCCAGCAGCCGCCGUAA